CGGACGGAGAGGAUCCCCCAUUGUCGCCGAUGUCUAUUUAACAUGGGCGGUAGAGGAGCCGAAUCUUAGUGAGAUUCCGAGUCCGCUGAUCAUCUGUCACUGCUGAGACUGAACUCAAAAACGAGACAAGAACACAUGUUAGGAGGAGACAGAAGGAAGUUGCUCGUUUCGCCAUAUUUUUCUUUUAGAAUGAGUUGAAAGGCAUGACCUUGAAACAAUGAGAUGGUCAAGACAAUGUACAAGAAGACGAAGAAAUCAAUUCUUUGAGGUGACAUUCCUCUACUGCAUUUGUGAUUAGAUUUGCAGACGGAGGUAAUUCUUGGCUGAUAUUGCUGCCUGUAACCGUCACCGUGAAAGACUUCUUCUCGUUCACCAUCU